UUUCCUUGGUCAAAUUGUAGGCCCUUUAUAAUGGUAACAUUAUAUUUUGCAUAUCAUAAAUUGCUAAAACAUCCGAAUAACCCAGAUAUUCGUUAUUAAUACGUAUAAUAAUUAUUAGGACAAUUAGCAGGAAACUAUUAGGUAUAUAAAUGGUAUAAGUUUAUUAUUUUAGUAGAAUCUUCAGAGGCUAAACGUGAUAUAUCCAUAAUUAUGGAUAAAGACAUAGUCCAACUCCUAUAGUAAUAUAGGU
rnacentral:ncRNA from 1 species